rnacentral:rRNA from 1 species
GACGAACGCUGGCGGCGUGCUUAACACAUGCAAGUCGAGCGGUAAGGCCCCUUCGGGGGUACACGAGCGGCGAACGGGUGAGUAACACGUGAGUAACCUGCCCCAUUCUUUGGAAUAACCAGUGGAAACGCUGGCUAAUGCCGAAUAUGACCAUCGAAGGCAUCUUCUGGUGGUGGAAAGCUCCGGCGGAGUGGGAUGGACUCGCGGCCUAUCAGCUUGUUGGUGAGGUAACGGCUCACCAAGGCGACGACGGGUAGCCGGCCUGAGAGGGUGACCGGCCACACUGGGACUGAGACACGGCCCAGACUCCUACGGGAGGCAGCAGUGGGGAAUAUUGGACAAUGGGCGAAAGCCUGAUCCAGCAACGCCGCGUGAGGGAUGACGGCCUUCGGGUUGUAAACCUCUUUCAGCAGGGAGGAAGCGUAAGUGACGGUACCUGCAGAAGAAGCGCCGGCUAACUACGUGCCAGCAGCCGCCGUAAUAC